GUCGGUAAAACUCGUGCCAGCCACCGCGGUUAUACGAGAGGCCCAAGCUGACAGAAACCGGCGUAAAGAGUGGUUAGGCGGUCCUUAAACUAAAGCCAAACAUUUUCCGAGCUGUUAUACGCAUUCGAAAUUAUGAAAACCUUCUACGAAAGUGGCUUUAAUAUCCUGACUCCACGAAAGUUAUGGAACAAACUGGGAUUAGAUACCCCACUAUG
rnacentral:rRNA from 1 species